CCUUGACUGCGAAAGCAGACAGUUGCCAAGACAAGGAGAUUGACAUG
rnacentral:ncRNA from 1 species